AUGGUGUGUGCAGAGAGGUUCUGGAAACAAUGGGUUCCAUCCUCAUGGCGGGGUCAGGGUAGAGCUGGUUGGAGCCUGGGCCUGUCGCUUGAGGGCCACCCUCUCAUUUGUUGUGGUGUCUCAGAUCCUCUCCAGUGUUGCCAUGUCUCUGAGACCCUGUCCCGUGUCGCGGUGUCUCUGAGGCCCUCUCCUGUGUCAUCGUGUCUCUCACGCCCUCUCCCGUGCUGUGGUGUCGCAGUGUCUCCGAGACCCUCUCCCAUGUCGCGGUGUCUCCGAGACCCUCUCCCGUGUCGCGGUGUCUCCGAGACCCUCUCCCGUGUCAUGGUGUCUCUGAGACCCUCUCCCGUGUCACGGUGUCUCGAGACCCUCUCCCGUCGCGGUGUCUCAGACCCUCUCCCGUGUUGCGGUGUCUCAGACCCUCUCCGUGUCGCGGUGUCUCCGAGACCCUCUCCGUGUCGCGGUGUCUCUCAUGCCCUCUCCCGUGUCGUGGUGUCUCUGAGACCCUCUCCCAUGUCACGGUGUCUCCGAGACCCUCUCCCGUGUCACGGUGUCUCCGAGACUCUCUUCCGUGUCGUGGUGUCUCUCACGCCCUCUCCCGUGUCACGGUGUCUCGAGACCCUCUCCGUGUCGCGGUGUCUCGAGACCUCUCCCGUGUCGCGGUGUCUCCGAGACCCUCUCCCGUGUCGCGGUGUCUCUCAGACCGUCUCCAUGUCGCGGUGUCUCCGAGACCCUCUCCCGUGUCGCGGUGUCUCUCACGCCCUCUCCCGUGUCGCGGUGUCUCUGAGACCUCUCCCAUGUCACGGUGUCUCUGAGACCCUCUCCCAUGUCAUGGUGUCUCCGAGACCCUCUCCGUGUCGCGGUGUCUCUCACGCCCUCUCCGUGUCGCGGUGUCUCCGAGACCCUCUCCAUGUCGCGGUGUCUCUCAUGCCCUCUCCCGUGUUGCGGUGUCUCUCAGACCGUCUCCAUGUCGCGGUGUCUCCGAGACCCUCUCCCGUGUCGCGGUGUCUCUCACGCCCUCUCCGUGUCGCGGUGUCUCACGCCUCUCCCGUGUCACGGUGUCUCACGCCUCUCCCGUGUCACGGUGUCUCUCACGCCCUCUCCCGUGUCGCGGUGUCUCUCACGCCCUCUCCGUGUCACGGUGUCUCACGCCCUCUCCCGUGUCGCGGUGUCUCUCACGCCCUCUCCCGUGUCGCGGUGUCUUUUGAACCCCAGGAUGGCAUCCUGAACCCUCAUGCAGCCUCCUGCACCUGUGCCGCCUGCUGUGACGACAUGACCCUGGUGAGUGCCCUUCGCCCCUCUCCGGCUACUUCCCCUUAG
rnacentral:lncRNA from 1 species